rnacentral:lncRNA from 1 species
AUCGUCUUUAAACGUUCAAUUAUGGUUCAAUGCCUAUUCGAAUAGUUUAUUAUAGAAAGUAAUAAUGUCAAAAUAAAAUUAAUAAUAUAGUGUUGAUAAUAUUAAAUUAACGAAUUAUUAUUUAUAUUUUAGAUUAUUUGUGUAUAACGAAGAACCUAUACGUUUGACUAAGAUGUGUGUAUCGCGUGCGUUCAAAAAUACUUUCUUCGUUUUACUGAAACAUUUUUUUUUAAAAAACCAACAACAAAUGGCGUGAUACAUUGUUUUUAUUUUUAUUGAUUUCUGAGUUACCUAAUAGGGUGUACAAGAUGAAAAAAAUAUGACUAUAAUAGGCUAGAUAGGAACCUUACCUGCAGUUUACCGAGCUCCGUUCGGAAUCGUUCUUUGAUUUUUCUAAUCUUUGGAUUUAUCGUUGCUUUCAGUAUCAAACUAUAUUACCCUAUAUCCUAUAUACCUUCUCACCUACAACAGUAGCCGGGUGCCCAUGAUGCCAAAAAUAUCCUGUUUUUAUACUAAUUAAAUAUAAAAAUAAAUUACUACCUACCUAAUGUUCAUAAUGUAUAAUAUACAUCUUGUCUUUCCCGUAUUCUCUUAUAGUCGGACAUUAUCGAUUAAAUAUUUACAAAUAAUUAUUGUUUGCUAUUUUAAAAUAUUAAACUAUUAAAAUUAAUAUGAUAAAAAAAUAAAUGAAAUUUGUAUAUUGCCUAUAAUACGAGUAUUUUGUCCUCUAUUGACAACACCGUUUAAACAGUGCAGAUUUUGUAUUAUUAUCGGACUGUUAGGUACGUAUGUGGAUUUAGAAAAUACUAUAUUUAGUAAAUAACAAAACUAUUAAUGCAUUUUUCAUAGGUACUCACUUAAAAUUAUAUUUAUUAUUCAACGAGAAUUCGUUAAAUUAUUGUCAAAAGUGUUCUCAUUCAUUAGCAUUUCUUUUUUUAAAAAAAAAAAAACGUUUAAACGUUUAAACGUUUGUUGAAAGUGUACCGCUAUUCGAUCAACACCGUUAUACCGACUGAUAAUUUUUUUGUAAAUCGAAUAUUACUUAAAAUAUAUUUUAGUUUAUUGCAAAAUGAUAUACAUUUAAACAUUCUAAACGAUUAGUUGUUAUAAUAUUGACUAUUAUAAACCUGUAUACCUGACUCGAUUAAUUACGGAGUGUGUUUACUAUUGUUUUAGAGUACCAAAAAAACAUUUGCAAGAUUUCGAAGACGGGUGUACAACGAAUAAAUACAAAUCGAUGCCGAUUAUUCCGCCGGAUUAUUCGAUUUUAUAUUGGAAAGACGACGUGAAAAAUCACAAAGUUUUCAUUCCCACUCCGAGUCGCCAGGUAUUCUAUGACCUAGAAGAGUUCGACGUGAGUGGCAUACAAUAUUUCAAAUCUUAAGAUACGUUAGUAUAGUACCUAACCAUCUAAAAAUUCAUAUAUAUAUAUAUAUAUAUAGUAAUAAAACAACACUUGUUUUAAUAAUACUAUAUAGGUAUUCAUAGAGUAAAUUAAUCAAGUAAUUCAUUUAAUUUAUUUAAUCCGAUUUUUUUUUUUUUUUUUUAAAGAUGGACAAGAGCAAAUAGAUGCGUAUGUUUGGCCGCGUACGAAGAGUCGCUCGAGGACAAACCGGUUAUCGUUGAAAUAAACAAUAUGAUGGGAAAUAUUAUAAAACUUAACACGUUGAAAUACAGCGAACCGAAACACGAAUAAAAAUUAUAAUUUUCCACCGUUUCGGCGACAUCUGCAAGUACUAUAUAAUGGUGAAAUAUCACGUGAAAGAUAUAGAGCAUAUUCCGUUAAAAUAAUGGUAUGUACAAACGGUAUACCUAUUAAUGUAAUUAAUUUUUUCAGUUAGUUGAUAAAUCAGAGAUUCGUUCUGAAAAGGAAAACCAAAAUGUACUUAAUUAUUAUCUACUUGUACAUUUAAAAAUGUACGCAUUCGGUUCAGAUUCUGAUGGUCAGAAAUAUUUGAAUAGGUAUUUGAAAAUAGGUUAUAAUUUGAUCACUAAAAAUAAAAAAAAUAAAAGUCUACAAAUUAAAAUAUUUACAAAUAUCAGGCGUGAAAGUGACAUUUUCGAUUAAUUUAUUCAUUAUUUUAUUAUUUUAUUAAUUCAUCAUAGACUGUCAAUCUACUGUAAAUAAUUUUGGUUUUUUUUUUUUAAAGUUCAAACACGCUGUUUUUUUCGAAAGACCAUCCAUCACUCUACGUUACUGACAAUCAAUCUAUAAUUGAUUCGAUUAAUUCCGUGUUUCGAGCAUACAGAAAACGUUUUGCGAAGGACCGCCAUUUUUCGCCAUAAACAAUAAUAAUAUGUUUGAACAAUAUUCACUAUUAUUGUACAGAUAACAUUUUAUAUUAUCUAUGUACAAUAUAUUAUUACAAUUUAUGUUUCAAAAAUGUCACUCUCAAUCAUAAUAUUUUAUUUCAAUAAUAAACAAACGUUAAAUUUUAACAUUUUUUAGUAUUCAUACUAAAAACUAACCUUUUUUUUUUUUUUAAAUUAUCAUAUUUACUCGUAAAUAUUAUAAUGUAUGUGGAGUUAUAGAAAAAAUAACUUAUAAUUUAAUUUAAGUUGCCUAUAUUAUGAAAAUUAAAAGGGGUAAAAGGGCUAAAACCAAGGUUUUAGAUCUUGAGCGAAGCGAAAAAACUAUUUGUUUUAUAUAAAUAAGUGUGUGGUUUUUUAUUUUUUUUUUUCGGAAAACGCUUUUUGAGUUAAUAAAAAUGCUCCAAAUUAUUCGCAUUGUUUCUUAAAAGGUACUGAUUUUUCACACGGUGGUACUGUAUUUGAAACAAAUGUCUAGAUUUCCACAGAUUUUCUAUAUUAUGAUUUAAAAGAAACACAAUUAAUGUAUCCGUAUCUUUUUUGAUUUUCUAGGUUACUU